GUGAUUGUAGUUCAGUCGGUUAGAACGCCUGAUUGUGGUUCAGGAGGUCGUGGGUUCGAAUCCCAUCAUUCACC
rnacentral:tRNA from 1 species